GACGAACGCUGGCGGCGUGCUUAACACAUGCAAGUAGAACGGUAAGGCCCUGCUUUUGUGGUGUGCGCGAGUGGCGAACGGGUGAGUAACACGUGAGUAACCUGCCCUUGACUUUGGGAUAACUUCAGGAAACUGGGGCUAAUACCGGAUAGGAGCUCCUGCUGCAUGGUGGGGGUUGGAAAGUUUCGGCGGUUGGGGAUGGAAUUGCGGCUUAUCAGCUUGUUGGUGGGGUAGUGGAUUACCAAGGCAUGGACGGGUAGCCGGCCUGAGAGGGUGACCGGCCACAUUGGGACUGAGAUACGGCCCAGACUCCUACGGGAGGCAGCAGGGGGGAAUAUUGCACAAUGGGCGGAAGCCGGAUGCAGCAACGCCGCGUGCGGGAUGACGGCCUUCGGGUUGUAAACCGCUUUCGCCUGUGACGAAGCGUGAGUGACGGUAAUGUGUAAAGAAGCACCGGCUAACUACGUG
rnacentral:rRNA from 1 species